rnacentral:rRNA from 1 species
UAGCCGUUCAAGUGAGUAGGGUGUUGCGUAGGCAAAUCCGCGCAACGUGAGCCUGAGACACGAUGACGAGUGAAAAAUAGUAACGAAGUCCUUGAUCCUCCGCUGCCAAGAAAAGCUGCUAAGGAAUAUAGAGGUGCCCGUACCGCAAACCGACACAGGUAGACAGGUAGAGAAUACUAAGGCGCGCGAGAUAACUCUUGUUAAGGAACUCUGCAAAAUGAACCCGUAACUUCGGGAGAAGGGUUGCUCUCUAGCGUGAGUAUGAGCAAUACAGAGCGCAGGAGAGUCGCAGUGAAAAGGUCCAGGCGACUGUUUAGCAAAAACACAGGUCAUUGCAAAAUCGCAAGAUGAAGUAUAAUGGCUGACGCCUGCCCGGUGCUGGAAGGUUAAGGGGAAGAGUGCAAGCUUUGAACCGAAGCCCCAGUAAACGGCGGCCGUAACGAUAACGGUCCUAAGGUAGCGAAAUUCCUUGUCGGGUAAGUUCCGACCCGCACGAAAGGCGAAACGAUCUGGACGCUGUCUCAACAAGGGACUCGGUGAAAUUGAAAUUCCGGUAAAGAUGCCGGAUACCUGCGAUAGGACAGAAAGACCCCAUGGAGCUUUACUGUAGCCUGAUAUUGGGUUUCGGAUAUUCAUGUACAGGAUAGGUGGGAGACUAAGAAGCAUGGACGCCAGUUUGUGCGGAGUCACUGGUGGGAUACCACCCUUAAAUGUUUGGAAUUCUAACAAGGAGUCUUGAAGCAGAUUAUUGGACAGUGUCAGGUGGGCAGUUUGACUGGGGCGGUCGCCUCCCAAAAGGUAACGGAGGCGCUCAAAGGUUCCCUCAGAACGGAUGGAAAUCGUUCGCAGAGUGCAAAGGCAGAAGGGAGCUUGACUGCGAGAGCCACAACUCGAGCAGAUAGGAAACUAGGACUUAGUGAUCCGGCGGUCGCGAGUGGAAGUGCCGUCGCUCAACGGAUAAAAGCUACCCUGGGGAUAACAGGCUUAUCUCCCCCAAGAGUUCACAUCGACGGGGAGGUUUGGCACCUCGAUGUCGGCUCAUCGCAUCCUGGGGCUGAAGUAGGUCCCAAGGGUUGGGCUGUUCGCCCAUUAAAGCGGUACGCGAGCUGGGUUCAGAACGUCGUGAGACAGUUCGGUCCCUAUCCAUCGCGGGCGUAGGAAAUUUGAAGGGAGCUGACCCUAGUACGAGAGGACCGGGUUGGACAGACCGCUGGUGAACCAGUUGUUCUGCCAAGAGCAUAGCUGGGUAGCUAAGUCUGGAAAAGAUAAACGCUGAAAGCAUCUAAGCGUGAAGCGAACCUUAAGAUGAGAUUUCCCACAACGAAAGUUGAUAAGACACCAGAGAGAAUAACUGGUAGAUAGGUCAGGAGUGUAAGUGUGGUGACACAUUGAGCGGACUGAUACUAAUAAGUCGAAGACUUAGCCG